rnacentral:misc_RNA from 1 species
AAAAUAACUAUGCUGUGGAAUGUACAAAUGCUUAUGUGAAAUGCGAAUUCUUAAUUUAGAACAUAAUAUUCAGAAACCCAAAAAUAUAAAUCUGACUUUUUAAAGCAAUCCACAUCUUGACAACAACACAUCUUAGCAUCAGAUUUGAUUUCCUACCAGAAAUUAACCAUCAGAUUUGAUCUCUAUUCACAGAAACUAUAUGAAAAUCAAA